rnacentral:rRNA from 1 species
CCCUUAGAUGUUCUGGGCUGCACGCGUGUUACAAUCGGGAGUACAACAAGAUUGCAAAUCCUAGUGGAUGAGUGGUUCUUCGAAAUUUUCUGAAGACUGGGAUAGUUGAUUGAAAUUAUUCAACUCAGACGAGGAAUUCCUUGUAAUUGUAAUUCAUUAUAUUGUAAUGAAUACGUCCCUGCCCUUUGUACACACCGCCCGUCGCUCCUACCGAUUGAACGAUCCGGUGAAUUAUUUGGAGUAGCUCUGGAAGUUGCAGAACUUCCUAUGUCACGAAAUUUUGUAAACCUUAUCGUUUAGAGGAAGGAAAAGUCGUAACA